AAUGAAGACAAUCAACUCUCUGUAAAUACCCAUAUUUAUUUUGGUGAACCUCUGUGAAGUAAUUAUAGAAGAACAAUAAAGGGGACAGAAUCUAAGUCUCCAGCAAAAAAAAAAAAGCAACACAUUGCCAUAUUUCUGUGCAAUAAUUUACUGAAUAUGAGGAGUCCAAAAGGACGAGAACUCUUAUCUGAGCCCUUGAUGAUGGUGAAAAUUUAGCCAAUGAACAUUCUUGAGAGAAUAUUUCUUUUAAUAGGAUGUGAUCUAAGAUGAAGAGCUGUAAUAGUUUUGGGACUGUAUCUUGUAUUUCCAAAAGAAGAAUUGCAAGUCCAUUGAAAUGCAAGACUUAACUUCUGGAAUUGUACGCCAAAUAUACUCCAAAACAUUGUCUUCAUCAACAAAGGCUUUCAUGUUGACCUCUGCUCUACACAAACUUAAAUCUGUUUUACAUCAGAAGCUGCAGGGACGGAAGAGUACAUGGGAAAAGAACAUGUCUGGGAGUUUAGAGAGGACCAGCUAAAUUUUUUGAGCUCCAGUGGGAUUGGUGACAUAACUAAAAAGCAACAAACAGCAGGUGAGAGGGAGGAUUUAAAUAUAAAUAAGGACACUUUGAAGCCGUAAGUUUUUAUUGAUCACAUUCACAUUUACAAAUCAAAGUCUCUGCUCUUAGAAAAAUAUUUAACUAAGAAAGAAUCCAAAAGUCAUAAAAUACCAUGCAGGGAAAGGAAAAAUAUUAAAGAAAAGUAAAGGCAUGGAAUCAUGUUGAUAAAUAUUCCCCAGACUAAAAAAAUCAACUAAAUACCCUAUUUUCUUUAAUUAAAAAUCACUGAAUUAUUUAAGGAUAUCUGCCCAGAUUAAUUAUUGAAGACACAUCAAGAUCUGCCUAGUGGUGUGAUUACUGGUUUAUAUGGUUAUUUAGAUCUGCCCAUUUGGACCUGAAUUUAACCUCCAAUUAAAAAAGCUGUUGGAAAUUCAAUCCCACAAACAACUUAGCGCAUCCAUACUCCAUGCUUUAAAAUGGUAAAAUAUUUUAAUUC
rnacentral:lncRNA from 1 species